AAGAAAGCCUUUGGGUGUUAAAGCCCUUUUGGCCGGGAGGAAAAAUCCUCGGUUAAAAGCCGCGGAGUUUGACGGUACCGUAAGAAGAAGCCCCGGCUAACUCCGUGCCAGCAGCCGCGGUAAUACGGAGGGGGCGAGCGUUGUUUGGAAUUACUGGGCGUAAAGGGCGUGUAGGCGGCCUUGUAAGUCAGACGUGAAAUCCCUCGGCUUAACCGGGGAAGUGCGUUUGAAACUGCUUGGCUUGAGUACGGGAGAGGGAGGCGGAAUUCCCGGUGUAGAGGUGAAAUUCGUAGAUAUUGGGAGGAACACCGGUGGCGAAAGCGGCCUCCUGGACCGAUACUGACGCUGAGGCGCGAAAGCGUGGGGAGCAAACAGGAUUAGAUACCCCGGUAGUCCACGCCGUAAACGAUGGGCACUAGGUGUGGGGGGUAUCCACUCCUCCCGUGCCGGAAAGCUAACGCAUUAAGUACUCCGC
rnacentral:rRNA from 1 species